UUAUCUUUAGUUGCCAGCGCGUAAUGGCGGGAACUCUAGAGAGACUGCCCGGGUUAACCGGGAGGAAGGCGGGGAUGACGUCAAGUCCUCAUGGCCCUUAUAUCCAGGGCUACACACGUGCUACAAUGGUAAAUACAGAGGGCAGCGAGCCGGUGACGGCGAGCGAAUCCCUAAAGUUUAUCUCAGUCCGGAUUGGAGUCUGCAACUCGACUCCAUGAAGUUGGAAUCGCUAGUAAUCGCGGAUCAGCAUGCCGCGGUGAAUAUGUUCCCGGGCCUUGUACACACCGCCCGUCACACCAUGGGAGUUGAUUAUACCCGACGUCGCUGGGCUAACCCUUCGGGGGGGCAGGCGCCUAAGGUAUGGUUGAUAACUGGGGUGAAGUCGUAACAAGGUAGCCGUUGAGGAAUCAGCGGCUGGAUCACCUCCUUUCUAAGGAAAGUAUACAGUAAGUAGCAAGCGCUCAAGNUUUAAUUCACUGGNCCAAUUUUGAGAGAUCAAAUCUCUUGAAUGCUCUUUGACAAUUUG
rnacentral:rRNA from 1 species